GACCUGGCGGCGUGCUUAACACAUGCAAGUCGAACGAACCUUCGGGUUAGUGGCGGACGGGUGAGUAACGCGUGAGAAUCUGCCCUCAGGAGGGGGAUAACAGCUGGAAACGGCUGCUAAUACCCCAUAUGCCGCGAGGUGAAAUGAAUUUCGCCUGAGGAUGAGCUCGCGUCUGAUUAGCUAGUUGGUGUAGGUAAUGGCUCACCAAGGCAUCGAUCAGUAGCUGGUCUGAGAGGAUGAUCAGCCACACUGGGACUGAGACACGGCC
rnacentral:rRNA from 1 species